rnacentral:pre_miRNA from 1 species
GUAGUACUCCCUCCGUCCCAAAAUUUUUGUCUUAGAUUUGUCUAGAUAUGGAUAUAUCUAACACUAAAACGUAACUAGAUACAUCCGUAUUUAGACAAAUCUAAGACAAGAAUUUUGGGACGGAGGGAGUAUUUC